GUCUCAAAGAUUAAGCCAUGCAUGUCUAAGUAUAAAUCAUUUAUACAGGUGAAACUGCGAAUGGCUCAUUAAGUCAGUUAUAGUUUAUUUGAUAGUACAAUUACUACUUGGAUAACCGUGGUAAUUCUAGAGCUAAUACAUGCUAAAAGUCUCGACUUCUGGAAGGGACGUAUUUAUUAGAUAAAAACCAAUAA
rnacentral:rRNA from 1 species